rnacentral:rRNA from 1 species
UACGUAGGGGGCAAGCGUUGUCCGGAUUUAUUGGGCGUAAAGAGCGUGUAGGCGGCCAGGUAGGUCUGCUGUGAAAACUCGAGGCUCAACCUCGAGACGUCGGCGGAAACCAUCUGGCUAGAGUACAGAAGGGGCAACUGGAAUUCUCGGUGUAGCGGUGAAAUGCGUAGAUAUCGAGAGGAACACCUGCGGCGAAGGCGGGUUGCUGGGCUGAUACUGACGCUGAUGCGCGAAAGCCAGGGGAGCGAACGGG